rnacentral:rRNA from 1 species
GCCAGCAGCCAUAUCACCCUGCUCCUCACAACUGGCAGCCCACUGAAGCUCAGCAGGUGUGAGCCUGGUUAGUACCUGGAUGGGAGACCUCCUGGGAAAAACUAAGGUUGCUGCUGGAA